GCGGGCGGAGCCAGAUGGUAGAGUGACAGCCUUCCAAGCUGAUGACGAGGGUUCGAUUCCCUUCGCCCGCUCCA
rnacentral:tRNA from 1 species